UGGGGAAUAUUGGACAAUGGGGGGAACCCUGAUCCAGCCAUGCCGCGUGUGUGAAGAAGGCCUUAUGGUUGUAAAGCACUUUAAGCGAGGAGGAGGGUACUGGUAUUAAUACUACCAGGUACUGGACGUUACUCGCAGAAUAAGCACCGGCUAACUCUGUGCCAGCAGCCGCGGUAAUACAGAGGGUGCGAGCGUUAAUCGGAUUUACUGGGCGUAAAGCGUGCGUAGGCGGCUAAUUGAGUCGGAUGUGAAAUCCCCGAGCUUAACUUGGGAAUUGCAUUCGAUACUGGUUAGCUAGAGUGUGGGAGAGGAUGGUAGAAUGACAGGUGUAGCGGUGAAAUGCGUAGAGAUCUGGAGGAAUACCGAUGGCGAAGGCAGCCAUCUGGCCUAACACUGACGCUGAGGUACGAAAGCAUGGGGAGCAAACAGG
rnacentral:rRNA from 1 species